CCAUAGUUCAGUCGGUAGAACGGCGGACUGUUAAUCCGUAUGUCACUGGUUCGAGUCCAGUUGG
rnacentral:tRNA from 1 species